GUGGCUAUGAACAAACUGUUUGAUGAAUAUGAGAUUCGCUUCCCUGAGAAAGAUAAAUUUAUAAGUGAACCUGCUUCUGAUUCUGAUUCUGAUUCUGAUUAUGAUUCAGAAGGAGAGGUCCCUGCUGCUGGAAAUGCAAAUUAUACCUUUAGUGUGAUGAAGAAGUAUGAAGAAUUCCUCCAGUUAAGUGAUCUACCUGCAAAGAAAACAGACUUGCAUUGCUAUCUGGAACAGCCUGUCUUACCUUGGAGUCAGGAUUUCGAUGCCUUGACUUGGUGGAGCACCGCUGGUGCUAAGUAUCCUACCCUUUCCAGGAUGGCACGUGAUUUCUUGGCUAUUCCUGUUUCUGUUGCCUCUUCAUUUGAGGCGUUUUAUACUGAAGCAAGGCCAGCUGAUGCACGUGUUGUUUGCUUGAAGCCAGAGUUGAUGAAUGCCUUAGUGUGUUCUCGAAGCUGGUAUUCUAAGCACUGAAAGAUGUAAGG
rnacentral:lncRNA from 1 species